rnacentral:misc_RNA from 1 species
UGAUGUAUUGCUGGAAUGAUCAUACAGCCCUGUCAGUCUGAGAGCUCAGAUGCAAAACUUAACUGAUCUUGACCCAACUCGGCCUCAUCAUACAGCGAAGACAUCGGAUGGAAGUUCUGACGACGGACUGCAUCGGUUGACGUUCCACGAAGCUCCGGGGAGUUGAGGACAGCGGAAUCUGUUGGAUUCACAUCGGGUUGUGAUUCGGGUCCAGACGUGACCCGAACGGAUCUCGGCUUCUGGGUCCCUGGAGGUCUUCUGUAGAUUGGCGAUGCGAUGCUGGGUUUGAUGACCAGACUCACAGGAUAUCUACAACGAA